UGUUUUUCCGCCAGUCCACCAGAACGCCGUCCUGGAGGAGGCUCUGAAUCCUCCUCCGGAGAGUGACCAGGUCCACUGCUGUUUUUUGGUAGACCUUGAUGUUCCUUGUCUCCCACAGGACCUGCUUGAUGGUAUUGAUAAUCCCCCACUGACGCUGGAGCUCCAUGGUCUUGAGUCCCUCUCGGGGACCGUAGAGGACUCUCUCAGCCGUCAGGGAGGACAUCGGCAGCAACCUGUUUUGGGAGACAGAGGAAACAACAAGGCCCCAGACCCGCCUAGCCACGGUGCACUCCCAGAACAGAUGGUGAAUGUGUUCCGAGUCAGUGCAACCGUGGGGGCAGCGUUCAAUCAGAGCUAAGUGCCUGCGAUACAUAAAUGUUCUUGUGGGGAGACACCUGUGAGCUGUCAUCCAGGCAAUGUCUUUUUGUUUAUUUGUAAGACACUUGUGUGUCACAUUUGCCCAGAUGACUUGCGGGUCCCGGGCCGGCCCUGACCUCGGGAGUGCGGCUGUUUUGUUAGAUCUUAAAUAAGCCAUGAUGAUUUUAUAGCUCCACGAGGUCAAGCCAGCCCUGGGCAAUCCUGCCCCAAAAGCAAAGUCCUUCAGCGCCUGAUAGACAAAGGGGGUUCCCAGCUAUACGGUACAGUUAGGUCAAGCACACCCAGGCCUACUGCCUUUAGGAAGGGGGUGGUGUAGUACCUGGCAAAGGCACCAGAGGCCUUUCCCUCCUUCCCAGCGUUCUGGACCAGAGCGGCCAGACCCUGCACCAUAAUGAUUUUAACUAUGUCUGGGACCCCCCACCCCCUAUUCCUCUCGUCUUUGAGGAGGGUGGCUCUGCUCAAUUUUUCCAUAUUGCUCCCCUAGACAAAGUGAAAGACCAACCUAGCGAUUUGAUUGCUGGUGGCCUUGUCUGGGGGAAACACCCUCCCCACAUUAAGAAGAAUGGGCAGGACAAUUGCCUUCAGGACGAGGAUCUUACCCGCCAUGGUCAGGGGCCGCGCACUCCAGCUUCGGGCUUUGUUUUGGACGUGGUGCAGGGCUCCCUCCCAGCUCGUUCGCCCUCCUCCGUCAGCCUGGAAGGUCACCCCCAAGAGCUUGAUGGUAUCUCUGCGCACAGGGAAGGAAACGGUUAACGGCUCACUAUAAUAAGGAGACAGAAACAUUUCACUCUUGUCCCUGUUGACCAGGGCGCCAGUGGCCGCACAGAAGUCGUUACCUUGGUGGCACAAGCGAUGGAGCGACUAUCUGUGGUGACGAUGGUGAUGUCAUCCAUGUACACCAUCACUUUUAGCCGCUCUCCCCCAGCCCCCGACAGCGGGUAGCCCGCCACUCCGGGGCUGGCCCUGAUGGCCUGGAGAAACGGUUCAGGUAGAUGACGUACAGGAGAGAUGCUAGAGGGCACCCCUGCCUGACACCAGACCUGAUGGCAAACGGGUCAGAGGGCUGGCGGUUGACAACCACUCUGCCCGUUAUGUCAGUCAGGCAGAUCUUCGUCCAGCGCCGGAGGGGGCCAGGAAUGUUCAUUCUCUCCAGCACUCUCUCCAAGCACACAUGACUCACCCGGUCAAAUGCCUUCUCUUGGUCAAGGCUGAGAAGGCACAAGGGGGACCUCUGCUCCCCGGAGUGGACGAUUAAAUCCCUCGUGAGGAGCAGGUUGUCAUUAAUGGACCUCCCCUGCACACUGCAGGUCUGGUCCGCCCGAUCACCGAUGUUAUCAGGCCUUGGAACCUCCUCAUCAGCGCCUUCGCCAUGAUCUUAUAGUCGACUGAGAGGAGGUUGAUCGGCCGCCAGUUGCGGAGGUCCUUCAGGUCCCCCUUCUUUGGGACAAAAGCUACCGAGCUCUGUCUCAGUGAGGCCCCCAACCGCCCUUCCCUGUACGCCGCUCUAAAGACUUCCGCCACGUCCUCCUUCAGGAGAUCCCAGUAAGUUUGGUAGAACUCGGCUGGGAUUCCGCCAGGACCCGGAGCUUUGUGCUGGUUGAGGAUAGCACGGCUCGGGUGAGCUCUUCGGUGCUCAACUUCGGCUCCAUCUGCUCAUCACCCAGACGUCUGUCAAAGCAGCCCAGGAAGGUGUCCAUGAGAUCCUCCUCGGAGGGCCUCUCACUUUAAAGGCCCCCGUAGAACUCCCUGGCCACCUCACGGACCUCCGCCUCUUCAGACACCACCACACCUCUGUUGUUAUAGAGAGACAAGAUGUUGUUAGUCUUAGACCGCCCUGCGGAAGAAAAACCGCGUGCACUUCUCAUCCUCCUCGAGGCCCUGGAGCUUGGAGCGGAAAAAGAAUUUUUCCCGCUCCUCCCAGUAGAGGGUGGUGAGGCUCUGUCGAGUCUGUGCGAUUUUGCUGCUACCAUCCAGGCCUCGGGACUGGAGGAGGCUCAGUCUCUGGAGGGCAGCAUUGUGACGUACAAAACCUGCCCUCCUUUCCUUUGCCUUCCUCCGCCCGGCUACCCGGAAGUAGCCUCGCACUCGCUCCUUCACCAUCUCCCACCACUCCACCGGGGAGUCAAAAAGAUGUUUCAGACUCACCCACUCCAGGUAACGUCUCGAGAAGGAGAGUUGCACCUGGGGGUCUCGGAGAUGGCUGGUGUUCAUUCGCCAGAGCCUCUUACCCACGGUUAUGGAUUUCUCCCAGGUCAGGGACACGGUCACCAUGUGGUGGUCUGAGAAGUGCACCGCCUGGAUCGAAUAAGCGGGCACUCCCAGGCCUGGGGAGAGCAGAAACAAAUCAAUCCUGGUUGAGGAGCAACCAGAGGAACUCACCCACGUGUGUUGGGGGGGAGAGGCGCCCCCGGCGUCGUGGAGGGAGAAAUCCUCUAUGAGGGACCACAGCAGGUUGCUGGAACGAUCCCGUCUGGGUCUGCUGCGGUCCUCAUCUUUUAGAGCACAGUUGAAAUCCCCCCCCCACGACAACCGACAUUGUGCAAUGUAACAGUGGUGACAGUUUUGUGAAAACGGAGACCCUCUCGGCCACGCUGGUGGGGCCGUACACGUUGAUGACCCUGAGUGGGGAACCCCCGACCUCGAAAUCCGUGACGAGGAUUCACCCACUCUCUACGAUGUUACUUGAUGUACAUAGGGAUUUUUCACUAACGUGCCGACUACAUCAGCUCUGGCGAUGUUAGAGCCAGACCAGAGAGAGUCUCCCAAUCUCCAUUCUCCCCCCAGAAUGCCAUCCAACUCCCGGAACGGAAUGCCACAUUCCUGGAGCAGGAUGAUGUCUGAGGGGACCUGGGAAAGGAUGGAGAAAACGGUGUGUCGUUUGGCUGAGUCUUUGAUACUACGGGUGUUAAGUGUUGAAAUUGCCGGACCUAAGCAGGUAGAAGAGAAGGAAGCACAGGAACAGCGCUUAGCAGGUUGCUGGUCCGUCCCAGGGGGACCAAGCAGUGCUGAAACGGAGGGAGCUGAUCUGGGCUCAGCUCCUCCAGGUGCAAUGGGACCUCCCUUCCAGUAGGGGUGCCCGGCGUUGAUCCACCAUGGUGUCUUUGCUGGAUCAGAGCACCGCUGCCAUUGUGGGGGGAGGUCCUCGGGUCCCCCUUUCCGCCUGCUCCUCGGCCUCGUCCUCUGGGUCCACCUGGUGGUCUGCUGCGGCCUGGAGAGCAAGAGAGGGGAGAACGGAGCAAGGGCGAAGGCCCAGCAAGGCUGGCAUAGACUGGAGAGCGAGCUGCUACGGGCCUUCUCUCCGGGCAGCUCUGCACUCCCCUCUGGUCUCCGGCGAUGGGCGUUCCGCAGCAGUGGUGUGGUCGCCGGAUGGCGGGAGUCUUCUGGCAGGGGGGCCUCCAAGCGCUGUCCUGGCUUCGGCGUUGGGGGUUCAGCAGGCCGCAGUCAGGCCACUGGUACCUGCCUAGCCCCAACACUAUAAGGUCCGGCCUGGUCCGCCGGUCUGAUGCUCUAGACACAACCACGGUUAAGCCACUGGUACUGCGCUAUCACACCAGACCUUCAGAGAGAGAGAGGAGGAGAGAGAGAGAGGCACGUCUGCUCAAAUCACACCCAAGAUCCACGAGCCCACUGUCCUCAGCUAGCUAACCAGCAGAGGGCAGUAGACUCGUGAACAAUGAAGAGAAACCCGAGCACACGUGAGUGAGUGUGAACGGACUUUAUCCUGCUCUUCUGCAUCACCCUUCUCAAAAUCAACAACAUCUGUUGCACUUCGACUCAUCUUCCUCAUCAUCAUCAUCUUCACUUCCCCUCAGAGCCAUGCAAAUCUUUCAAUCUUCAGUUCAAUAUCAAUUGUAUUUUGAGUUCUGUUAAAUUCACCUUGUCGAGUUCUAGUUAAAGUGUCAAGGUCACCUUUAUUUGUAAAUACAGUAGUUUUUGCAAAGAUAAUUAAUCAUUUUUGAACAAAAAGAUAUUUUCAGCCUCCAGUCCUGUUUCUUGAGGACAUUCCAUGUCUUGAUAAACUUUUUCAGGGCUUGACUUUUAAAACUUUCCUUCGUUUGAUUUCUUAUCAACUUGCCUGACUGGUAAAGUGUGAAAAACUUCUGAUCCCUGAUAAGCUAUGACAGUUUUUUUUUCUAAAUAAAGGAACAUUUUUUUGUGUGUUAUUUUACUGUAGCCUGUACACAAAAGCAUUCACAGCUAAAAUGAGAAAAGGACUUGAAAGACUCUAUAAUCCUUUGUGGCUUCUGAUUUUUUGACAUGACAUAACAUGGUUUAUUUCCAUAAUCAUCCACUUUGUUAAAGGCAAAUCAGUUACCUCAACAGCAUGACCUUACACUUCCCAGCUUUCCCAAGAAUUUAGCCUGCAGGGAUUCAGUGACCUAUUUUUAUACAGGAUGUUUGAUAUUAUAGGGCAUCAACAUUCCCUGGGAAAGAUGAUUGCCAAAAAUGGAUUGGGGACUAACAUUCAGAAGUGGUUACAUGUGUUUAAUAAAAAUGGUGCACUUGAUCCAUAGGGUGGGUCUAUGAAGAUGAAAUACUGAUGCAGCUGCUCACUCAGCGGUGCACUGAAAGCAAUGCUAUUUGUCGGGAUGUGCUGUGACAUUUACUGUAGAGUUGAGUUUAAUAUGCCUUCAGUAUUCAACCCCAGAGCUCUUCCUGCUCUUACCAUUGCUGCACUGCUCACUUUAGAAUAUUUACUAAAAAGUAAGCUAUUUUCUAUUGUGAAAUUACAAAUUUUAUUUGAGAGUAAUUGUGUGAUCUUGUUAUGCUGUAACAUGACAUCUAGUAGGUGAUUUUAGAUUAAAGCUCAAUGGUUGAUCCUUAUGGGAAGAGAAUGUACUGCAAUAUAUUUGCUCUCUUUCUUCUUAAUGAUGUCUGAACCCUGACUGAUGCGGGACCAGCUAGUUAUUAUCAGAGAGGAAAGUGGAGAGUCUUUUAAAGACAGAAUGUUCAAGAGUUUUGGACAAGAAUGGGAGCAAAGAGACAGAUCUGUAGUUAAUGACAGCUGAGGAGUCAAGAACAGGUUUCUUUAGUAGGAAACUUGAAGGAGGAGGGAAAGCAUCUAGAAGAUCAGGGGGAAUUCACCAGAAAGGUGAGUGAUGGAUUGGACUUGUAACUAUGGCAUUGUUAAUUAAAGAAAAUUCCCACUUUUUUCUAUAUUCCAAAUGGUUGUUGUAUUUAUUUAUUUAUCCAUAUUUGAUGCCCAGAUUGGAUAGUAGGUGCCCUGUGACUGCUUAGACACUAUCUCUAUAUUUUUAGUCAUGUAUAUGCGAUGUCAGUGUUUACAUACAGAGAAUUGCUCUAUAUGAUGAUGAGGAGGAUGAUGAUCAGUAUUAUUAAUUAGUACUAAUAUUAUCAACAUUAUGUCUCUUGCUAAAAGAAGAUC